rnacentral:rRNA from 1 species
CAGGGUGACAGCCCCGUACACAAAAAUGCACAUACUGUGAGCUCGAUGAGUAGGGCGGGACACGUGGUAUCCUGUCUGAAUAUGGGGGGACCAUCCUCCAAGGCUAAAUACUCCUGACUGACCGAUAGUGAACCAGUACCGUGAGGGAAAGGCGAAAAGAACCCCGGCGAGGGGAGUGAAAAAGAACCUGAAACCGUGUACGUACAAGCAGUGGGAGCCUCUUAAUGGGGUGACUGCGUACCUUUUGUAUAAUGGGUCAGCGACUUAUAUUCUGUAGCAAGGUUAACCGAAUAGGGGAGCCGAAGGGAAACCGAGUCUUAACUGGGCGUUAAGUUGCAGGGUAUAGACCCGAAACCCGGUGAUCUAGCCAUGGGCAGGUUGAAGGUUGGGUAACACUAACUGGAGGACCGAACCGACUAAUGUUGAAAAAUUAGCGGAUGACUUGUGGCUGGGGGUGAAAGGCCAAUCAAACCGGGAGAUAGCUGGUUCUCCCCGAAAGCUAUUUAGGUAGCGCCUCGUGAAUUCAUCUCCGGGGGUAGAGCACUGUUUCGGCAAGGGGGUCAUCCCGACUUACCAACCCGAUGCAAACUGCGAAUACCGGAGAAUGUUAUCACGGGAGACACACGGCGGGUGCUAACGUCCGUCGUGAAGAGGGAAACAACCCAGACCGCCAGCUAAGGUCCCAAAGUCAUGGUUAAGUGGGAAACGAUGUGGGAAGGCCCAGACAGCCAGGAUGUUGGCUUAGAAGCAGCCAUCAUUUAAAGAAAGCGUAAUAGCUCACUGGUCGAGUCGGCCUGCGCGGAAGAUGUAACGGGGCUAAACCAUGCACCGAAGCUGCGGCAGCGACACUAUGUGUUGUUGGGUAGGGGAGCGUUCUGUAAGCCUGUGAAGGUGUACUGUGAGGUAUGCUGGAGGUAUCAGAAGUGCGAAUGCUGACAUAAGUAACGAUAAAGCGGGUGAAAAGCCCGCUCGCCGGAAGACCAAGGGUUCCUGUCCAACGUUAAUCGGGGCAGGGUGAGUCGACCCCUAAGGCGAGGCCGAAAGGCGUAGUCGAUGGGAAACAGGUUAAUAUUCCUGUACUUGGUGUUACUGCGAAGGGGGGACGGAGAAGGCUAUGUUGGCCGGGCGACGGUUGUC